rnacentral:lncRNA from 1 species
GUCACAAUCGCAAUACUCAGAACCUAUGUGAAUAUGGUUACUGUAUAAUUCAUCUCUUUUGACCCCUGUAUUUAGGAUGACUCAGGGUUAAACUGUCAACCCUGAUUAGAUCAUCCAAAUCAUGCUCAACUCAAACAGUCCUGUGACUCCUCACUAGGACUACCCUGGCCAAGAACUGAAGUGGAGUGGUCAAUCCCAUCUUGACACAUGCACCGACAAGUCAAGUACUUGACUACAUCGAGCUGCCUUCCAUCACUAAAUUAGAAAUUCAGGUAGUCCAGUACUUAAGUGCAGUGAGUUGCUUGCAAGUCACCAUGGCGG